CUACGUGCCAGCAGCCGCGGUAAUACGUAGGGUGCGAGCGUUAAUCGGAAUUACUGGGCGUAAAGCGGGCGCAGACGGUUACUUAAGCAGGAUGUGAAAUCCCCGGGCUCAACCUGGGAACUGCGUUCUGAACUGGGUGACUAGAGUGUGUCAGAGGGAGGUAGAAUUCCACGUGUAGCAGUGAAAUGCGUAGAGAUGUGGAGGAAUACCGAUGGCGAAGGCAGCCUCCUGGGAUAACACUGACGUUCAUGCCCGAAAGCGUGGGUAGCAAACAGGAUUAGAUACCCUGGUAGUCCACGCCCUAAACGAUGUCGAUUAGCUGUUGGGCAGCAUGACUGCUUAGUAGCGAAGCUAACGCGUGAAAUCGACCGCCUGGGGAGUACGGUCGCAAGAUUAAAACUCAAAUGAAUUGACGGGGGCCCGCACAAGCGGUGGAGCAUGUGGUUUAAUUCGAUGCAACGCGAAGAACCUUACCUGGUCUUGACAUCC
rnacentral:rRNA from 1 species